UACAGAGGGUGCGAGCGUUAAUCGGAAUUACUGGGCGUAAAGCGCACGUAGGUGGCGACGUAAGUCGGGUGUGAAAGCCCCGGGCUCAACCUGGGAAUUGCAUUCGAGACUGCAUUGCUGGAGUACGGAAGAGGAAGGCGGAAUUCCCGGUGUAGCGGUGAAAUGCGUAGAUAUCUGGAGGAACACCGGUGGCGAAGGCGGCAUCCUGGACCGGCAUUGACGCUGAGGAGCGAAAGCCAGGGGAGCAAACGGG
rnacentral:rRNA from 1 species